UACAGAGGGGGCAAGCGUUAUUCGGAAUUACUGGGCGUAAAGCGUGCGCAGGCGGCUUUGCAAGACAGAUGUGAAAUCCCCGGGCUUAACCUGGGAACCGCAUUUGUGACUGCAUGGCUGGAGUGCGGCAGAGGGGGAUGGAAUUCCGCGUGUAGCAGUGAAAUGCGUAGAUAUGCGGAGGAACACCGAUGGCGAAGGCAAUCCCCUGGGCCUGCACUGACGCUCAUGCACGAAAGCGUGGGGAGCAAACAGG
rnacentral:rRNA from 1 species